rnacentral:rRNA from 1 species
GAUGAACGCUGGCGGCGUGCCUAACACAUGCAAGUCGAACGGAGUUAUUAUUAUGAAGUUUUCGGAUGGAUUAAUAAUAACUUAGUGGCGGACGGGUGAGUAACGCGUGGGUAACCUGCCUCAUACAGGGGGAUAACAGUUGGAAACGGCUGCUAAAACCGCAUAACAUUGCACUGCCGCAUGACAGAGCAAUUAAAUAUUUAUAGGUAUGAGAUGGGCCCGCGUCUGAUUAGCUAGUUGGUAAGGUAACGGCUUACCAAGGCGACGAUCAGUAGCCGGCUUGAGAGAGUGACCGGCCACAUUGGGACUGAGACACGGCCCAAACUCCUACGGGAGGCAGCAGUGGGGAAUAUUGCACAAUGGAGGAAACCCUGAUGCAGCGACGCCGCGUGAGUGAAGAAGUAUUUCGGUAUGUAAAGCUCUAUCAGCAGGGAAGAAAAUGACGGUACCUGACUAAGAAGCCCCGGCUAACUACGUGCCAGCCGCCGCCGUAA